rnacentral:rRNA from 1 species
GACGAACGCUGGCGGCGUGCCUAAUACAUGCAAGUUGAGCGCUGAAGGUUGGUACUUGUACCAACUGGAUGAGCAGCGAACGGGUGAGUAACGCGUGGGUAAUCUGCCUUUUAGCGGGGGACAACAUUUGGAAACGAAUGCUAAUACCGCAUAAAAACUUUAAACACAAGUUUUAAGUUUGAAAGAUGCAAUUGCAUCACUCAAAGAUGAUCCCGCGUUGUAUUAGCUAGUUGGUGAGGUAAAGGCUCACCAAGGCGAAGAUACAUAGCCGACCUGAGAGGGGGGUCGGCCACAGUGGGACUGAGACAAGGCCCAAACUUCUACGGGAGGAGGCAGGAGGGGAUCUUCGGCAAUGGAGGAAAGUCUGACCGAGCAACGCCGCGUGAGUGAAGGAGGGUUUCCGGUCGUAAAACUCUGUUGGUAGAGAAGAACGUUUGUGAGGGUGGAAAGCUCAUCAAGUGACGGUAACUACCCAGAAAGGGACGGCUAACUACGUG